rnacentral:rRNA from 1 species
GGUCAUUUAGAGGAAGUAAAAGUCGUAACAAGGUUUCCGUAGGUGAACCUGCGGAAGGAUCAUUAUUGAAAUAAACCUGAUGGGUUGUUGCUGGUUCUCUAGAGAGCAUGUGCACACCUUGUCAUCUUUAUAUCUCCACCUGUGCACUUUUUGUAGACCUUCCAGGUCUAUGUUGCUUCAUAUACCCCAAUGUAUGUUUAAUAGAAUGUUGUGCAUAUGAUGCAUAUAUAUAUACACAUGAAACCUUGUUCAUUGGUGUGAUAACCUAUCUACGCUAUUGAACGCAAGGGUGCAGUUCAGCUUUCCAAUGGUCUUUGGACAAGUUCAUCAUUAAUGUGACCUCAAAUCAGGUAGGACUACCCGCUGAACUUAAGCAUAUCAAUAAGCGGAGGAAAAGAAACUAACAAGGAUUCCCCUAGUAACUGCGAGUGAAGCGGGAAAAGCUCAAAUUUAAAAUCUGGCAGUCUUUUGGCUGUCCGAGU